rnacentral:rRNA from 1 species
CGAACGUUAGCGGCGCGCCUAACACAUGCAAGUCGCACGAGAAAGGGAGCAAUCCCCGGUACAGUGGCGCACGGGUGAGUAACACGUAGAUGACCUUCCCUGGAGUGGUGGAUAACCUGCCGAAAGGCGGGCUAAUACAGCAUGGGACCACAUGGUUUUGACCGAGUGGUGAAAGCGGGCCUCUGUUCACAAGCUCGCGCUCUGGGAUGGGUCUGCGUCCCAUCAGCUAGUUGGUGAGGUAAUGGCUCACCAAGGCAUCGACGGGUAGCUGGUCUGAGAGGAUGACCAGCCACACUGGAGCUGAGACACGGUCCAGACUCCUACGGGAGGCAGCAGUGGGGAAUCUUGCGCAAUGGGCGAAAGCCUGACGCAGCGACGCCGCGUGGGUGAUGAAGGCCUUCGGGUUGUAAAGCCCUGUGGGGAGGAACGAACCGUACGGGGGCGAACACCCUCCGUACCUGACGGUACCUCCUUAGCAAGCAUCGGCUAACUCUGUG